rnacentral:rRNA from 1 species
UACGGAGGGUGCAAGCGUUGUUCGGAAUUACUGGGCGUAAAGGGCUCGUAGGCGGCCAACUAAGUCGGACGUGAAAUCCCCAGGCUCAACCUGGGAACUGCGUCCGAUACUGGAUGGCUUGAAUUCGGGAGAGGGAUGCAGAAUUCCAGGUGUAGCGGUGAAAUGCGUAGAUAUCUGGAGGAAUACCGGUGGCGAAGGCGGCAUCCUGGACCGACAUUGACGCUGAGGAGCGAAAGCUAGGGGAGCAAACGGG